rnacentral:rRNA from 1 species
UACGUAGGGUGCGAGCGUUGUCCGGAAUUAUUGGGCGUAAAGGGCUCGUAGGCGGUCUGUUACGUCGGGAGUGAAAACUCGGGGCUCAACCCCGAGCCUGCUUCCGAUACGGGCAGACUAGAGGUAUGCAGGGGAGAAUGGAAUUCCUGGUGUAGCGGUGAAAUGCGCAGAUAUCAGGAGGAACACCGGUGGCGAAGGCGGUUCUCUGGGCAGUACCUGACGCUGAGGAGCGAAAGUGUGGGGAGCGAACAGG